UUGCGUGCUGUAACUGUA
rnacentral:tRNA from 1 species